rnacentral:rRNA from 1 species
AGAGUUUGAUCAGUGGCUACAGAACGAACGCUGGCGGCAUGCCUAACACAUGCAAGUCGAACGAUGCCUUCGGGCAUAGUGGCGCACGGGUGCGUAACGCGUGGGAAUCUGCCCUUGGGUUCGGAAUAACUCAGAGAAAUUGCUGCUAAUACCGGAUGAUGACGUAAGUCCAAAGAUUUAUCGCCCAAGGAUGAGCCCGCGUAGGAUUAACUAGUUGGUGAGGUAAAGGCUCACCAAGGCGACGAUCCUUAGCUGGUCUGAGAGGAUGAUCAGCCACACUGGGACUGAGACACGGCCCAGACUCCUACGGGAGGCAGCAGUGGGGAAUAUUGGACAAUGGGCGAAAGCCUGAUCCAGCAAUGCCGCGUGAGUGAUGAAGGCCUUAGGGUUGUAAAGCUCUUUUACCCGGGAUGAUAAUGACAGUACCGGGAGAAUAAGCUCCGGCUAACUCCGUG